UACGGCUACAUCACGUUGAAACGCCGGUUCCCGUACGAUCACCGAAGUUAAGCAACGUCGAGCUUGGUCAGUAUGUAGAUGGAUGACCACCUGGGAAUACCAGGUGCUGUAAG